UGCCAGCCGCCGCGGUAAUACGAAGGGUGCAAGCGUUGUUCGGAAUUAUUGGGCGUAAAGAGUACGUAGGCGGCUUAGUAAGUUGAUUGUGAAAUCCCCAGGCUCAACCUGGGAACUGCGAUCAAAACUGCUUCGCUAGAGUCUGGUAGGGGAUAAUGGAAUUCCUAGUGUAGGGGUGAAAUCCGUAGAUAUUAGGAGGAAUAUCGGUGGCGAAGGCGAUUAUCUGGGCCAAUACUGUCGCUGAGGUACGAAGGCGUGGGGAGCAAACAGGAUUAGAUA
rnacentral:rRNA from 1 species